UCACUCUGGUUUCCCUUCAAAACGUAUAAAUCUUUCGCCUUUUACUAAAGAUUUCCGUGGAGGGGAACACUCAAAUGAGUCUAUAGUUAUUAUUGGUGCCCUGCGCUCGCAGGGC
rnacentral:snRNA from 1 species